rnacentral:rRNA from 1 species
GACAGAGGGUGCAAACGUUGUUCGGAAUUACUGGGCGUAAAGCGCGUGUAGGCGGUUGUUCAAGUCGGGUGUGAAAGCCUUGAGCUCAACUCAAGAAAUGCACUCGAUACUGGAUGACUUGAGGACCGGAGAGGAUAGUGGAAUUCCCAGUGUAGUGGUGAAAUACGUAGAGAUUGGGAAGAACACCAGUGGCGAAGGCGGCUAUCUGGACGGUUUCUGACGCUAAGACGCGAAAGCGUGGGGAGCAAACCGG